rnacentral:rRNA from 1 species
AUUGAACGCUGGCGGCAGGCCUAACACAUGCAAGUCGAACGAGUGGCGGACGGGUGAGUAAUGUAUGGGGAUCUGCCUGAUGGAGGGGGAUAACUACUGGAAACGGUAGCUAAUACCGCAUACUAUCGGAUGUACCCAGAUGGGAUUAGCUAGUUGGUGGGGUAACGGCUCACCUAGGCGACGAACCCUAGCUGGUCUGAGAGGGUGACCAGCCACACUGGAACUGAGACACGGUCCAGACUCCUACGGGAGGCAGCAGUGGGGAAUAUUGCACAAUGGGCGCAAGCCUGAUGCAGCCAUGCCGCGUGUAUGAAGAAGGCCUUCGGGUUGUAAAGUACUUUCAGCGGGGAGGCGUUACCCGCAGAAGAAGCACCGGCUAACUCCGUGCCAGCAGCCGCGGUAAUAC